GAAAACCUCCGCCUCCCCAUUCACCGCCUGCCCGUCAGGUACUUUCCCCCAGAGAUUCUUCAGGAUCUGCUCCUCCACGUUUUUUCCUUUUUCCAUCUUGUUUCCUUCCCGCCUUUCGCAGUGCGGUUUUCCUGGAGGACAUCGCCCACCCAUUGCAGGCGUGCAGAGCCCUUAGCGCCUGGGCUGCUCGCUCGGCCCAGGGAGGCCCCUGCUUUCCAGGGCAGCGAGGACUCAAGGCUCAGGGAGAAGCCAGCGGAAGGGACGGCGGCACGGAGACCCCUGGGGCACCACCGCAGCAGCGGCGAGUUCUUUGUCAGCCGAGGCCUUGGGUUGACCGUGACUUCGAGUCAGAAUAUGAUCUGCAGCCUCAGAAAUCCUGCAGGAGAGCUCAGGGCGCCCCUGCCCAGCGAGGCCUGUGAACACGGUGGCCCUGCAGCACCCCACUCAGACCUCACCACAGCUUUCGCCAGCGAAGGCUGUGAAAUCAAGGUGAGACUGGGCAGGGGCCCAGCGAGGCCCAGACCGUGCUGGGCCCUGGCAGCUUUCCUGCCUUCGCUCCUCGACUCUGAGUUCAACCUGGGGCUCGAUCUCACCGUGUCCAGGGGAGAAAAGAGUCCUGGCUACAAGGAGGCGCCGCCAGAUGCAAGAAGCCAGGGCCUCAGGGCAUUCAAAUCUUUUUUUCUAAGCAUAAAAGGCUUUUAAAAAAUUGGAAACUGAACAUCAGAGGAAGCCUUAGUUUCGAUCAGCAUGCUUAAUUUCACAGGAAAAGCUUGUCCAAUAGCAUCUCUUAAGAAAAAAGUAUUGUUUUUCCUGUAGUUAUAUAGUGGUGCCUCGGUUCAUGAACUUAAUUCUUUCCAUGAUUCUGGUUGCAAACCGAAUUGGACAAGAACCAAAUCAAAUUCAAUGUUUAGGUUCAAUGUUGACCUUAUGGAGAAAUGUGAUUCAGUUCUCUUCCAGUUUGGUUUUCAACCAGAAUCAUGGAAAGAAUUAAGUUCACAAACUGAGGUACCAUCAUGAGUAAUAUUUAAAUUUUUUUCAGAAAAUAUGGCAAAGUAUGAAGAAGAAAAUAACCAUCUCUCUUUAUCCCCCCAAAUUAAUAAACAUAUAUUUUGACACACCUAUGAGUUGUGUUUCUAUGAUACAUUCUUAUAAAAACAUACUGAGGCACAUAUAGGAAAAUCUGA
rnacentral:lncRNA from 1 species